ensembl:lncRNA
GUAUGGGACCAUUUAUCAGCGGAUCUGAACUGCAGAACUUUAAUCACAUCAGCUGUAGAUUUAUGUACCUUCUCCGGAAAGAUGAGUGGUCGUCAGCCCCCGAGCAGUGAUCUUCAUCCCAAGUGACUCCUUCAAUCCUGCUGGAGCAAACACUCAGUUACCAUUUGGAGAUGACCCAGAUUGACCUGGAGAAAGAGCUUACCUUCCAUGGAUGAGGAGCUGGUUGGUCUAAUCACGAGCCGCCUUCGGACCUCCACCGCCGGAUCCCCCAGCCGUCCUCCACCGCCGGGACCGUCUCCUCCAGGACCUCCACCGGGCCAACCGCCUGGACCUCCGCAACGUCGCCUCAUUUCUUCUGAAAUGUGACACACGUUCUAUUUGCACCCCGGACAUUCCUCCCCGUUCAUGAUGCACUGGAGAAGAGCUUAGCUUUACUGGAUGAGGAGCCGCCUCCUCCGGGCCCUCCAGGACGCCGCCGCUGGGCCCUCCAGGCUGACCGCCGCCAGGUGGACGCCACCGCCGGGACCUCCAGGUUGGUCCCAACCACCGCCUCCAGGCCCUCCAGGUUGGUCCCAACCACCGCCUCCAGGCCCUCCAGGUUGGUCCCAACCACCGCCUCCAGGCCCUCCAGGUUGGUCCCCACCACCGCCUCCAGGCCCACCGACUCCAGGACCACCAGGUUGGCCUCCACCUCCAGGCCCGCCGUUGCCUCCAGGAUCUCGGCCGUCUCCAGGCCUUCCAGGUUGGCCGCCUCCAGGCCCUUCUGAAAUGUGAGACACAAGUUCCAGUUGCACACUGGAACAUUUCUCCCCUUUCAUCAUGGAUGCACUGAAGAUGAGUUUAACUUUACUGGAUGAGGAGCCGCCACCUGGCCCUCCAUGCCGCCCCUUCCAGGUUGGACGCCUCCAGGACCUCCAGGCUGGCCUCUGCCUCCAGGACCUCCGCCUCAGUCCUUCUGAAAGGCGAAUGACACGUUCCAUUUGCACACUGCACAUUUCUCCCCGUACAUGAUACUAA